rnacentral:rRNA from 1 species
AUGAGGAUUCUGCAGUUUGCUUUCCGGAGGAUAUGUUCCCUGAUUUCAUCUGAUGCAAACCGCCUUAAGCCGUGUUUGUCUCGUCACUUUUCUACCUUUGAAAAUUUUGAUGCCUAUCCAGUCAGUAAUGCAAUUUGGCAUUCUAGGGAAGUCGACAUGAAGGAUCUUGGAGAUCCUGUCAAUUUCUUUGGCAGGAACCGAAUGUUUGAUUCAAUAUUAUACAACAAGCUUGUAGGCAGACCUAAAAGCAAGGACGGAAGGGAGAUCAAUCCGUAUCUUGCCAAGAUCAUCAAGAUGAACCCAAGAAUGGUGUCUGAAAUAUUUGCUUAUGCACUGAGAUCGUUGGCGGUUAUUACUGUGGAAAACCAUCGGAUGGGGGUUCCUUUAGGUGCUGCUGUGAAGCUAUCUAACCUGAGGAUCUCUUAUUCUCAUGGUAAGUUUGUCUUGCUCAAUAUCCUGCCAAAGUCACCCGGCUACAAGGGUUUGACUCUGCAACAGAGAUGUAAUGAUUGGAUAGCAAUAAGAGAUCUUGUGAAGCAGUUGGUUGAGGAGGUUUGCGGGAGUGGUGUUCAAUAUCCUGUGGAUUUUGCCCACUGGCUUGAGAAGUUGGGUGAGCCUCAGCCACAAAUAUUCAUGAUACUAUACCAUACCGUGUUCCUAAGAUCGAAUGCCCGUUUCUAUUACCAUGUUUCGCUGGAUCAGUUCUGCAGAAAGGAACCAAGGGGCAAGUUCAACAUUAUUAUGAAUGAUUCUGAAUUGCGUGAGUUGCUGAGGGAGAUAGGUGACCUUAGAGAACUGUUAAACCUUGCCGAACUGAAUGAGUUUCUGAAGUGCUGUAUAGCAGGUGACGAUGGAACUCAAGCAGCUGCUUCUAAAUAUCCAAAGGGCGGGCAACCAAGCAAUGGUACAGGCCAGCAGGGUCAAGCACCACCAGCCACAGGCCAGCAGGGUCAAGCACCACCAGCCACAGGCCAGCAGGGUCAAGCACCACCAGCCACAGGCCAGCAGGGUCAAGCACCACCAGCCACAGGCCAGCAAAGUCAGCCAUCUCAAGCCACAGGCCAGCAGGGUCAACCAGCUGCUCGAGGUGGCCAGAGUCAAACGUUCAAUUCAAGUAAUGCUCCACCACAAGGUCAGCCAUCUCAAGCCCAAGGGAACUCAAUCCCACAAGGACAGGCAUUGCAAACUCAGGACCCUUAUGCACUGCUUCAGCAGGCCAGACUCAAAGGUGGGCACACCUUGGUUGCUGUCCACCGCAACAGCCCUGUGCAUGGUUGCCAAAAAACAUGUGUAGGCUUCUCUUUCAUUCAAAGAUCGAUGUUGAAUCGCGGUCAAUUAUUCAGAUCGUCUAUUUCACGUUCCUUCCCUUCGACCAUACAGUUCUUGAGCUCUUCUGCAAGAAAGGGAUUCAGCAUCAAUUGGACAUGGAGUGCUUGUUUGGUGAGACUAGGGACACAUGGAAAUUUGCAAUAG